AGCUGUGAGGCCCGAGUUUUUGACUUGCACCUUUGGCAGGUCAUUGAAAUCAGAACCCUGUCAACUCUGAAGCGGCUGCUACAUCAAUUUCUAUAACUCACAGAAUUCCCUACUUCAAUUGCACAUGCAUGCUUGAUGGAUAUGAGGAUAUCUUGUACGAGUUAACGAAUUCUAGCAUUAAGUCGUACUUCCUGAAGACGUAGUUGAUUAUGAAACUCAGACACUGUAACCUUAGACCAGAUCAGAAGCAACAUUUGUACAUGCCCCGUUCUGAAUAUGCAGAGAAGAUGAUUGCUGCAAUUGAUGAAGUACGAGUUGAUAGAAAUUAGAUUGGUGGGACGGUCACAUGUAUUGCGAGAAAUGUUCCUCGUGCUCGGGAAUGAUAUACAAUUAUGUUGGGUACUUGCUGUGGGAUUUUUCACCUUUCGUAUACCUGUGUUAGGUAAGUCUUGGAGCGAGUAGUGGAUGGCGUGGAUGGUUCUGGCUGAUGGCGUGGAUGGCCACGACAGAGUCGACGGUGGAGGCGGCCGCUAGCUCAGGGUGUCACGUCCAUGGUCAUCCUGUCUGCUGUUUGCAGCACGGAUGUCGUAGAUGGCGUGUAGGCCAACCUUGACCAGCAACGUAGGUGCAGGUCAUUUCCCCAUAAUGGCAACAGUGGCGAUGGAGAGGUACAGUCGCCGCCGUGGACUGCUGCAGAUGGCUCUUUGCCUUGGGAUGGUGAUGCUGCUUCCCCUGUGGGACGGGGUGGCUUUGCCUUGGCGCUACCAUUGUCGUUGAGGAUGCAGGACAUGGUGGUGGUUCCACUGGAUCCAGCACGGUUGCAGGGGAUUGAGCGGCAGUGCUCUGUGUCGUUGGUACAUCAAUAAAGAUCUACCAGAAAUAACUGAGAUACUUACACAUAAGUACUCCUGGUGC